AGUUCUUCCAAGACUUUACCAGCUUGUGCACAUAAAAGGGGCCACACUAGUAGCAUGAUACGCACGUCACUCACUCCUCUAACUAGCAGACUGCUGUGAUUUCUUCAGUCUUCCCUAAUUCUAUUAGAGGAGUUCCAGGAAGUUUUCACUUGAACUCACAAAUUGCCAUCUUUGCUGUCACCUGGCACUGACCGUAUUCUAUUUUGGAUUAGGUGUUGACUCCUCCAAAACUGUACAUCAUUCUUAUGCCAAAAUAGCCCUGUAUUUUCACAAAUCAUGUGCAACCAAACAGAAACAAGAUAAGGUCCCUGUAUUGCCCAGGUCACCCUUUCCCACAAGGGCAUGAAAGGAAGUGGCUUGGGAAUUCUCAUAGAAUCCCUUGUAAACUACAGCUUCUUCCUUUCCUGCUUACAGCCCCUGUCUUCACAGAGCUGAAGUGAUUUGAACAGUAUUAAACAGAUAUUUUCUUUAAAGUUAUCUUUUGCUUGCAAGGAUACGAGUGCUUUGGUGACAAGUGGUCUGUUUAUCUUUUAAAUCUAGUCUGGUCAUGUGUCAGGUAAAUUAUUUCAUUUUUCUUAACUGAUUUGAGAGAAACUGUAGAAAAACCAACACCAGAAAGAUUUUUGAGAGGAUUUACUACAAAGUAAUGAAAUCAUUUGACUAUGAUAGGCUCUUAAUAGAGUAAAAUGGUUACUUUCUGGAUUUUUUUCCCUAAAGUCCAUGGACCGGUUUUAGAGACUAGUCUUUGAAUAGAGACCAAGCUGCUCUUCCCAGGACCCUCCUUCACCUCCGUCUAAUACAGAGUGAAAUCCUGCACGGGCUCCUUCCUGCCCCUUCAGUCCCAACCUCUCAAGACAGAUGCAAAGUUGGUGCAGAGUUCUGUUGACUCAUUCUAACUGUCCAAGAAAGUCCAAAAUGCAGCAGUAAACAGAGGCUAGGGCAUAGCUGGAAACUUUAUUUUGUCUUUGUAUAUAGACAACUUUUGAUCUUUCCUAGUUUUAGUAUCUUUAGAAGAAAGAAUCAGGUUUUGCUCAUCACUGUAACUCAAAGGAUUCCUUGCACGUAGUACACACUUGAAAAAUGGUUAUUCUCACUUGACUCCUUUUGGGCAUAAUAUGGUCACUAAAUCCAAUAAUCUUAAAUUAAUCAUUACCAAGUGUAUUUUAUAUUUAACAUCAAAUUACUUAAGGCAUAUAAACUCAUAAAUCUAAAAUAUAAAAAUGAUUAGUUUUUGUUAUAUAAUAAUUUUCCUACUCUUUAAUGAACUGUAUGAUGUUGUGUAAAUACCACCUUGAAAGCAGAUACUGAAAGCACUUGGAUUAUGUUAUGAGGCUACCUGAUAGAAAAAUAAUUAUAUUAGCAUAACUCACAUGAUAUUGGACAAGGAAUGAUUAAACCAUCAGUUUUCUGGAGCUACUUCUGAGCUACUGCUGCUAUAAGGAUACAAAGGAAAUAUAACAGUGGCUGUAUUUUGCACAAUUGGGGAUUCAUUUUUGGAGAAAACUUUUCCAGGCAAAUUAGAUUUAAAAUAGCUUUUGCAUCAGAAAUAAUAAACCUAAAAGAGAAUGUAGCCAACAAAGGAGACAGACUUAGAAUUCUCAGCAAAAGAGAAAGCUGAAGCCUCUUAGUCUUGGCAACAUUUUGCGGAAUAUAUUGGAAGGAAGCAAAACUUCCAGCAGGUAACAAAACAUACAGUGUUUGCACUUAAAGUAGGUGCUUUGAGACUAGGCAUAAACAGAACUUAGACUGAGUCAGAGAUACCCUGAAUCAACAAGUAUUCAUCCCAAGAAAUAUGUAAAGUGGACCAAAGUAUCUUCAUGCACAGGAAGAUUCUCCCAACUUCAAUGAAAAUAUCCAUAGCCAGUCUGGUCACAUGUUACCCUCUUCCACUUAGAAGAGUAAUUGGAGAAUGGUUUCAGAAAAUCUAGCAUGCAUUUUAAAGCAUUCCAAAUUGUAAACUACAUAUAUUUCUCACUAUAGUGGAUGAGUUCAUUUUUCUUAAUCCUUUUGUUGUCUGCAUAAAGACCUAAGGUUAUGAACAUCUCCUGUUAUUAUUAUAAAUAUAUAACAGCCUCGAUGGAACUAUAGAAAUUUCUAGAGUCAAUAUUAGGGUGAAUGGAGUUAAACAUUGCCUCUUAAAGAAUUCUAUCUGAAUGAGACUUUUUUCUUUCUGAAUGGGACAUAUUUUAAAUAAAUUAAGGUAAAAAAAAAUGUUUUACAGACUCUGAAGAAGCAGCAAAUGUAAAAUUAUUCCAUAAAGCCAAAAAGAAAAGUUACAUAAGUUGUGACCCAGAAGCAGUGUGCUGUGGAGAAAGAGUCUGAGAGGGAGGAAAGAAAAUGAGCUCACCUCUAACCAGUUCUCUGGCCUUAGUUAAAUUCCUAAAGCCAGUGCGAGUCCUAGUUUUCCCCUAUUAGGUCAACCACUUUGAGGUUGUAAAGCCCUGUUUUCACCUUAAAAGCUAUACUGCAGAACUUGUUGGUUGGUUGUCAUUGGCACCUGGGGGCCACUGCUUCCCCAUUCUUUGGACUGAGGAAUAUGCGCAGAAGACCCACACCUUUUGUCAGAACUGAGCUAAUUUGUAAGCUGCUUUUGACUAAUACCAUCCUACCUCAACCCACCUCUCUGAGCACCACCCCACAUGAGGUUAAAUAAGGUAAGAUGAGCCUUUAAAGGUAAAAUAAAACAUUAGUGUCUUCAUAUAGCACCUUUGAGGCUUUAGUUGGUCUCCUGUUGCCUGAUUUGAAAUUGUUAAAAAAUGUUGCACGUACAAACACACUGGGUACACUUUAAAAAUAACAUGUAUUGAGAUGUUGACUCAUAAGAAUGUGAAAUUAGUAGUGGUUUCCAAAACGGGUAAACAGUUACCUUAUUUUUUUGCUUUUACAUUAAAAUGCAUUCAGCUGUGUGCUAUGUAAAAAAAGUUUUUCUUUCUAACAUUUAAGACUUGCUUUUAUUUUCCCCAAAAGCAGACCCUGGAUAGUGAUUUAUCUGUAAAACUAAAAGUCAGUCAUCUGGAUAUGUUAAACGUGUCUAUGAAUAUUUAGAUUUUGAGCCUUGCAAUUAAAAAAAUUUGAAGUUUUUGAUAUAGAAAUAUAGAAUCAGUAGCACAUCUGAGGAAGAAGGGACUAAAAGGUGAUUUAAUGUGUAUAUUUGAUAUUAUAAAUGAGAGAACACAGGUCAAGGAAAAAAUAUUCUGAUGUUCUCUCUAAAAGUAUUUUUAUCCGAAAUGCCUCAAAGAUAUUUGGCUUACCAAAAGCCUUUUAACUUACCAAAUGUUUAAAAAAAAUUUAAUAUAAUAAUUGCAGUUAUUUCAAAGAACAUUUGUUACAUAACUUCAACUAAUUGAAACUAUUGAAAAUCAGUAAUUUUUAAAAAACUGCAGUCAAAAGUCCCUCCCUCAAAAAAUAUUUACAGUAAUUGCAGGCCCAGUCAAUAAUCUCACUUCAAUUUUUGCAAUCACAUCAAAUUCAAAAGAACAAAAAAUAAUUAAGCACAUACUAUAAAAAGACAUGCAACGAGUGUAUAGAGGUGAUUAGAAAACAAACAGCUAUUGCCCCUGCUUUCAUGGAGGAGUUGAAAGUAUCUGAAGGAGCAAGGUCACUGGCAAAAUAAAAGAGAAAAGAAAUUGGAGAAAAGUAGAUGCAAGGUCCCAAGUGGCAUCAUUUUCUUGGCUCUUAGCUCAAUGUAGCACUGCUCUGUAUGUGUCAGGAAUUCCUGAGCACAGUUUCCAAUACAAUGUUUUGUAGUAUUUGGCAUUGUAAAUUAUGGAUUUGGCCAUCAAGAAAAUACUCAGUGAACUCUGUCUUCUGAAAAGGCAGAAAAGUGUGGGCAUGUGGUAGACAUGUCUAACAGGGGUCUUAUCUUGAGGAAGGUCUGAGUCUAAAGAUAGAGGUUCAAGGACAUUUGAUCAUGUCUGGAGAAUGCUAGAGGGAUCCCACAGUGUCAGCACACCAAAGCGGACCUCAUGUAAGGGAGCUCUAAAGAGAGAUGUUUCCAGAUACAACACAUUGACCCAAUAAUAAGCCUCACAUGACAAUUCAGGUAUCAACUCUCAUGUGACUUCUGUGCAUAUUCCAUUGCUCAGUGCAAGCCAUACAGCAGUAGCUAACUUCAAGUGGUGUGAAAAUACAACAUACCUUAUGCCCAGAAAAACAAGAAUCAGAAAUAUUGGUGAACAUAUGCACUUUGCCAGAUAAUCCCAAGUGUUAGUAUAGUGUAGAUACAGAUGGAAAUCCUCAUGUGGUGGUGGGAAUAUAGACCAGUCCUGCCAUUCUGUAGGACAGCUUGGAAGCGCAAACAAAUUAAGUUUGCCCAACAGUUCUUCUUCUAGGCAUGAAACUCAUAAACAAAUCCUCAUGAAGAACUGCAAGGGAACAUGAUCCAUCCUUUAAAUUAUUUGAGCAUUAUUUGAGAUAGUGAUGAGUUAGAUACAAUUGAGAUGUACAUAUGGCAAAUGUGGUUAACGAAUCUGACUAGGAACCACAAGGUUGUGGGUUCAAUCCCUGGCCUCACUCAGUGGAUUAAGGAUCUGGCAUUGCCGUGAGCUGUGGUGUAGGUCACAGGCGCAGCUCGGAUCCCACAUUGCUAUGACUCUGGGGUAGACUGGUAGCUGCAGCUCCGAUUGGACCCCUAGCCUGGGAACCUCCAUAUGCCACAGGUGUGGCCCUAGAAAAGAGACAGAAAAAAAAAAAAAAGGUUCAUCAUUAACACUAAGGUGGAAUAAAGAAGAGGAAGCUUGGAGAAAAAUAAUAUAAUUUCAGCUUUUGAAAAAAAAAUCAUGAGUACUGAGGCUCAGAACAUUCAUAAAUUAAGAAAAUAAUUGCAAACACUAAUAUUCUGAAAUGAUGACGUUGAUUCCUUGGAUACUCUCUGCUGACACAGAUUCUAAUACCAGAAAGUUGGGGAAAAAUGUCUUCAAUUUGCCAAAUGUGUAAUUACACAUCUAAAUAAAUAUGUCAUAUAUGCCUCUACAAAUUCAGUAUUACAGGCUCUAAUUUAUAUAUGAAGAGUAGUGGAGCAACAGAAGGAGAAAUUGAACAGAAGACAAGUAUUUCAUAAUAGGUCAAUAAUUGGAUGUCCUUUGGCAAAGAAUUUUGCUGCUCACCUUCAAUAUACUGGGCUAUAAAAUGGAAUCAGUUAUACUUACUAUAUCUCACAGAGUUGUUAACUACUUAAGCAAAAUCACAUAUUUUAAGAUUCUUACUCAGUGGAAAUGUAAGAUAAAGCAUUACUUGUCAAGUUCCCCUUGUGGCUCAGCAGUGAUGAACCUGACUAGUAUCCAGGAGGAUGUGGGUUUGAUCCCUGGCCUCACUCAGUGGGUUAGGAUCUGGCAGUGCCACGGGCUACAGUAUGGGUCACAGACACGGCUCGGAUCCUGCGUUGCUGUGGCUAGGCUGGCAGUUACAGCUCGGAUUCGACCCCUAGGCUGGAAACUUCC
rnacentral:lncRNA from 1 species